CGAGGUGUAGUAUAGCGGUAGUAUUUGCCCAUGGGGUGGGUAAGGCAGGAGUUCGACUCUCCUCACCUCGA
rnacentral:tRNA from 4 species